rnacentral:tRNA from 1 species
GGUUGUGGCUCACCGGUAGAGCACUCGCCUAGCAUGUGUGAGGCCCUGGGUUCAAUCCUCAGCAACACA